UGCAAGUCGAGCGGACCGACGGGAGCUUGCUCCCUUAGGUCAGCGGCGGACGGGUGAGUAACACGUGGGUAACCUGCCUGUAAGACUGGGAUAACUCCGGGAAACCGGGGCUAAUACCGGAUGCUUGAUUGAACCGCAUGGUUCAAUCAUGAAAGGCGGCUUCGGCUGCCGUUUACAGAUGGACCCGCGGCGCAUUAGCUAGUUGGUGAGGUAACGGCUCACCAAGGCGACGAUGCGUAGCCGACCUGAGAGGGUGAUCGGCCACACUGGGACUGAGACACGGCCCAGACUCCUACGGGAGGCAGCAGUAGGGAAUCUUCCGCAAUGGACGAAAGUCUGACGGAGCAACGCCGCGUGAGUGAUGAAGGUUUUCGGAUCGUAAAGCUCUGUUGUUAGGGAAGAACAAGUACCGUUCGAAUAGGGCGGUACCUUGACGGUACCUAACCAGAAAGCCACGGCUAACUACGUGCCAGCAGCCGCGGUAAUACGUAGGUGGCAAGCGUUGUCCGGAAUUAUUGGGCGUAAAGCGCGCGCAGGCGGUUUCUUAAGUCUGAUGUGAAAGCCCCCGGCUCAACCGGGGAGGGUCAUUGGAAACUGGGGAACUUGAGUGCAGAAGAGGAGAGU
rnacentral:rRNA from 1 species